rnacentral:rRNA from 1 species
GUGAACUCCACAUACGCAUCCUUUGCGGAAGAUGCGGUUAACGGAGCGAAAGCGACGUUCAACCUCAGAAGAAGCAGAGGGGGCUUAGUGGUGGGGUGACUGCGUACCUUUUGUAUAAUGGGUCAGCGACUUAUAUUCUGUAGCAAGGUUAACCGCAUAGGGGAGCCGAAGGGAAACCGAGUCUUAAUUGGGCGUUAAGUUGCAGGGUAUAGACCCGAAACCCGGUGAUCUAGCCAUGGGCAGGUUGAAGGUUGGGUAACACUAACUGGAGGACCGAACCGACUAAUGUUGAAAAAUUAGCGGAUGACCUGUGGCUGGGGGUGAAAGGCCAAUCAAACCGGGAGAUAGCUGGUUCUCCCCGAAAGCUAUUUAGGUAGCGCCUCGUGAACUCAUCUCCGGGGGUAGAGCACUGUUUCGGCUAGGGGGCCAUCCCGGCUUACCAACCCGAUGCAAACUGCGAAUACCGGAGAAUGUUAUCACGGGAGACACACGGCGGGUGCUAACGUCCGUCGUGAAGAGGGAAACAACCCAGACCGCCAGCUAAGGUCCCAAAGUCAUGGUUAAGUGGGAAACGAUGUGGGAAGGCCCAGACAGCCAGGAUGUUGGCUUAGAAGCAGCCAUCAUUUAAAGAAAGCGUAAUAGCUCACUGGUCGAGUCGGCCUGCGCG